rnacentral:rRNA from 1 species
GACGAACGCUGGCGGCGUGCUUAACACAUGCAAGUCGAACGGUAAGGCCCUUCGGGGUACACGAGUGGCGAACGGGUGAGUAACACGUGGGUGAUCUGCCCUGCACUUCGGGAUAAGCCUGGGAAACUGGGUCUAAUACCGGAUAGGACUCCGGACUGCAUGGUCUGGGGUGGAAAGCUUUUGCGGUGUGGGAUGGGCCCGCGGCGUAUCAGCUUGUUGGUGGGGUGAUGGCCUACCAAGGCGACGACGGGUAGCCGGCCUGGGAGGGUGACCGGCCACACUGGGACUGCGCUACGGCCCAGACUCCUACGGGAGGCAGCAGUGGGGAAUAUUGCACAAUGGGCGCAAGGCUGAUGCAGCGACGCCGCGUGAGGGAUGACGGCCUUCGGGUUGUAAACCUCUUUCAGCAUCGACGAAGCGAAAGUGACGGUAGGUGCAGAAGAAGGACCGGCCAACUACGUGCCAGCCGCCGCAGUAA